GGAAGGCUCACAGUUGCCACUUGAAAGGAACCAAGAAGAGACUGGGGCAGCAUGAAUGUGCUGGAAGAUUAGAGGCUGCUGAUGCUGAAGGAAGGAGAAACGAGGAGGAAGUGUCCCUGUGGACAAGUCAUCUCCCUUCAUUUAAGCCAGGCCAGUAGUCCGGGAGACAUUCUGAAUGAUGCAUUAUCCUAGGCACCAGAAAGUAUCUAACAUUCUCAUGGACAGCAGGGAAAAAUGAGCACAUGAGACAGGGGAAGAUUCCAGCACCUGUGAACAUGUUUGUGCAGGUUUCCAGUCAGUACAUGGAUAUCCCUCAAGCCUUUGAAUCCAGUCUCCUGUGUUGUGAUUGGACCGUUUGUCAUUAGGUUUCCAGUGGCAGAGUAAUGCUGUGGGAGAACUGGCUACGAUGGCCGCAGGAGGUGAAUUAAGUAUUGUUGUGUUUUUAGUAGAACCACUAAAGGAAGAUCUGCAGGCAAGUUGGAUGAGUAUAAGAGCCAAAGAUUGACAAGACUUCCUCAGAUGCUCCUACUGACCAGUGGGGGCACUUCUACAGCUCCCCGAAUAUGUUCUCCCUGCAACCCCCACCACUUUUUAAUUAAAUGGCCAGAACUGCCUUUUUGUAUCAAAACUUAUUUUAGUCUAUCAAUCAAAGGCUUCUAUAGCCCACCUCAUGGCAAAGGAUAUCAGAGAGGUAAAAGAUAAUUGUUUUGACAUAUUUAUUAUCACAACUAGCGACUCUUUCUGCAUUCACAUUGGCUGGUAUGCAGAAAAGGGUGCUUUACAGGAUUCUUGGAAAUGUGUAGUGGAUGCUGGCUCUAGGGGAGGCAGAAUAGAGUGUGGGUUCUGCCAUGGGUCACAUCCGGGUUUUAAUUCUGCCUCUGCCACAUGACCUUGAGCACACUGGAAAACCCUAUUAGAUGUGCAAGAAGGCUUCCCCAUCUGUAAAGGUGGGUGACUUAGCAACUUUAGCAAUGCUUAAGUCACCCGGUUGUUGUGAGUAAUACAUAAGUUAAUGUAUGCUAACUUUCUAGAAAGUUUCCUGGCACAAAGUUGUAUUUAAUAAAUGAUUUUUAAA
rnacentral:lncRNA from 1 species